GUGUGUGUACAUACAUGUAGAUAAUUACCAUGUAAUAUUGAACCUGGGCAUUAGUUACAAGCUUGCUAUGAUCUUAUGGUACUGAAGAGGAGUGGAAAGAAAAUUGUUCCAUGACAACAGAGAAGCACAUUGUGAGGACCAGUGUGUCUUGGGCUAAACCUCAGCCAGCUGGAGGCCAGCCUCCGGCAUAGGAGAAUAAAACAGCUGCUGAGCCUCAUCUCCUGCCUCGGCCCUUCAUUAGCCAAACACAGCCAAUGUUAAAUAUUAAGCUCAAUGUUCUCUAAAUGUUUGUGAGUUAAAAAUGGAACAAGUAGAGAAAUCUGCAUAUUUUAAAAUGUAUUGAAUAUUGGUUAUUUUGAGUCUCUUUCCAGCUUUGUAUAACAACAUUCCUUCUAGAUUUUUAAAAUUUUCUCUUUUUUGUUUUUGUCAUUUAUGUUUUUUCUGUGUUUUGUAAAUAAUUCUAAGGAAUGCAGUAGACAGGGUAUUCAAUGAAGUGGUUGAUAUGAUUUUGGUUUUCCUGAUCACUUGAUCACCUGAUUACAUAGCUGUCUGCUAUCCAGUGGUAGAAUCAGCAAAAUUUGGCCUCCUCUGAUCAAAAAGUCAUAGUCUUCCUGAAAUCAAAGCAUCUUUGUCUUGUUUCAGCAAGCAUGGAAUGGGAAGGUCGCAAUUCAGGUUUAUAAGAUCAUCAAAUAUGAUCAAUUUUAGGUACAAUGUGUAAAAUCAGUGAAGAGAAUGAGUUGGAAUCUGAUCCCAGUGGAGCUACAGAUGUCAUCUUUCUAGAUACUUUUCUUGUUUCUCUACAGAGGCUAACAUCCCGGUGAAGAAAGUAUUCUGAAUUCUAUAAUGGAAUGAUUAGAAGCCCAAAAGACUCAGAAUGGCACUGGAUGAUAAAGGACAAAGAAACAACUGAAGCAAUGAAGAAAGUGCUUCAGAG
rnacentral:lncRNA from 1 species